UUAUACUUCCGCCAGCGGUCCCCUUAUUGGGGCCCAAAGCGCCAGUCAGGAAGAGCAGUUUCGACCUCGGUCGAAGCGGGUUUUCUUGGCCCGGCGCCCAUGGCGCGAGUCCUUGGCUUGCGUCCGUGGCUCCACUGGAGAUCCCUCGCUUCGUCGAAGGAUCAGCCCAGAAGGGUGGACCUCCACCUCGACCCCGUCCCUCGAGGAACCUCUCGAUGA
rnacentral:ncRNA from 1 species